GGGUAGAGCGGUAAGGCCGGUUUAUAGUCAACCCGCGUUCCCAUAAUGCCUUGUUUUCUUUGGAACCAAAGUACUUAUUAAAGAGACAUCCUGGAACUGACUUGCUAGGUUUUUUGUUCUGUGCCUGCAUCCGUGAAGCGAUCUCCCAGGAGAAUUUCCACAGAAACCCCACGAACAAGUCGUAAACAAGACCCCGCCCAACAAGGGGAAGCUGUGGUCAAAACCUUUAUUCCGGAACUCAGCGCCAUUUCCCGCACCCUGGGCGGGGUUGCCUUCUCUGCUUUGCGAUUCUACAGCGCUUGAGACCCGUGUGAAGAAAAUGAAGGUUUCUGGGAUCUCAAAGCGUCUGGGCACUGUGGGACGCCUUGUAGCUUUCUGCCAAGGCAGAGUCCAGCUGGCGGUCCUGCUGCUGUCCUUGGCGCCAUCUACUUUAGGUAAAUCAUGUGAAACUCCUAAAGAUCCUGAGAAUGGCAUAGUACAUGUA